GCGGAAGUAAAUAAGACAAAGGCGCUACUCGCGUUUCCCAAAUGACUGAGUUCACUUCGGGAGGUUAAUCUAUGAGUUAAACCUCGAGCCACAUUUACUGUAGCCUACAUUAGACAACAAUGUGUUCAGUUGAGUCUUUGAGAGAGUUUGUCAACGAGCGACUAACUGCUGCUGCUGAAGAAAUAUUGGGAGUUUUUAAAAGAAGCAUCGUCGAGUACGAGGAAGAGAUCGAUCGUCAGCGCAGACUGUUGGAUAUCGUUUUGAAGCCUGAAAUAAAGUUACACAGGACAGAGCUCCCACAGCAACAUGUGUGUAAGGAGGAGGAGGUUGUCCCUGAGCAGCAGCUCUGUAUUGAGGAGAGGAAGUCCAGUGUGGACCAAGAGGAGCCAGAGCCUCCACAGAUUAAAGAGGAAGAGGAGGAAGUGUGCAGCAGUCAGGAGGGAGAGCAGCUUGUAGUGAAGCAGGAGACUGAUGGCUUUAUGUUGACUCCUGCUGAUGAGGAAAGUGAGCACAGUGAAGAUCAGACUCUGGACUUCAUUCAUGAUGACACUCAAAGUGCAGCAGAGAAAGAGUCUGUUGUCAUUAUACCAGUUAUAAGCUCUGUGAUAUCAGAAGCAACCAGUGAGCACCAGCUGCUCUGUCACAACUCUCAUGUAGCUGAGAGCCAAGAUGAGGAAGAAUACCAGCAUGGAGACUCAGGAUCAACUAGAAACACAGAGCUUCAAGCAGAGAAAAGACAUCAUGAAAGUGAAAUGAACAGUAACAGUCCACACACCUCUGCUGUGAUAAACUUAAAUACAGGUAAAAAGCCUUUAAAAUGUGACGUAUGUGGGAAAGGUUUUGUGUACAAGUCAAGAUUGCAGAGACACCUGAACAGCCACACAGGUGAGAAGCCGUACCUUUGCAAGACCUGCGGGAAAAAAUUCAGCGAGAAGUCAGAAUUGAAAAGACAUUGUAGAAUCCACACAGGUGAGAAGCCGUAUACUUGUAAAACAUGUGGGAAAAGAUGCAGUCAGAAGUCAGGAUUGAACGCUCAUAUAAGAACCCACACAGGUGAGAGGCCGUACCUUUGCAAGACCUGCGGGAAAAGAUUCAGUGUGAAGUCAGCAUUGAACACUCAUAUAAGAACCCACACAGGUGAGACGCCGUUUUCUUGCAAAACAUGUGGGAAAAGAUUCAUUCAGAAGGCAGGAUUGAACGCUCAUAUAAGAACCCACACAGGUGAGAAGCCCUACCUUUGCAAGACCUGCGGGAAAAGAUUCAGUGUGAAGUCAGCAUUGAACACUCAUAUAAGAACCCACACAGGUGAGACGCCGUUUUCUUGCAAAACAUGUGGGAAAAGAUUUAUUCAGAAGUCAGGAUUGAACACUCAUAUAAGAACCCACACAGGUGAGACGCCGUUUUCUUGCAAAACAUGUGGGAAAAGAUUCAUUCAGAAGUCAGGAUUGAACGCUCAUAUAAGAACCCACACAGGUGAGAAGCCCUACCUUUGCAAGACCUGCGGGAAAAGAUUCAGUCAGACGUCAGGAUUGGAAAGUCACAGGACAAUCCACACAGGUGAGAGACCGUAUACUUGUAAAGUAUGUGGGAGAGCUUUCGGACGUAAUUGUUAUUUGUUAGCCCACAUGAGGACUCAUUCAGGGGAGAAGCAGUAUACUUGUGAAGUAUGUGGGAGAGGUUUCGGAUGUAAUGGUCACUUGUUAGUCCACAUGAGGAUUCACACAGGGGAGAAGCCGUAUCCUUGUAAAACAUGUGGGAAACACUUCAGAGCUAUCGGUAACUUGACAGUCCACAUGAGAACGCACACAGGUGUAAAGGUGCAUCAGCUGAGCACAGAGGUUCCAGUUGAAGUCACACAUAUACAGGAGAGAGACUGUUUACAUGCAAAACAUGUGGCAGAGCUUUCAGAGGCCUGUUCCAUAAAGCAUGCUAAGAAAAGUGGGGAGUGAAGUCCAAAUCCUGAAUUUUAAUUGAAAUUGCAGGUCUGGAAAAGUUAAACUAGUGAGAUAAAGAACAAAAGGAGGAGACUGCUUUAAAGUCUGAAUGAAUUUUAUACUUGCAAGAGUCAUGGAAAACCUGGAAAAGUCAUGAAAUUAGUCAAAAUCAUUAUAAGUCACAGAACUUGUUUGUGUAUAGUGAAAUUAUUAGAAUCAUCUUCAGUGGAUAACCCUCCAUAUAAUGUAACAUAAUGGCAAAUUCAUUUUCUGCAGCUGGCGUCUUAAUGUAGCUUUAAUAUGCGUCGAUGUGUGACAAUGUUUGUUUACCAUCAGGUGUGUUUUGUCAUGUUCUCCCUCAGUUUGUCUCUCCCUUCCUGUGUGCCAAUUAUGUUUACAUAGAGUUUGAAUCUGAUGUUUGAAAAACGCCGGGCAAGUGGGGAAAGAAAAAGAAAAUUCUUCAUUAUGAGUCCUUGAAAAGUCAUGAAAAAGUUUGGAAAUAUUGUCCAUGAAAAUGUGAGCGGAACCUGUGAUUAAAAGUAUGACUGAUUUUGCAGUGAGCACAGUAAUAAACUGAUCCCAGAAGA